rnacentral:lncRNA from 1 species
GUACAUUUUCCCAGCAGGGAUCAAAGCAGAAAAAUAGCACUACUUAGAUAACCUUUCUGCCAGGCUCUCUUUACAGUGGAAUUCCCAUUUGAACAUAUUUCCCAGAGCUGCAUCUCCUCCCUCUCCCUGCUUAACUGUUUCUACACCAAUGGUGGUAAGUAGGAGGUGCAGUGAAAGGUGAAACCAAAAUGUUUUGAUGCUGGGGGCUUUGAUCCUUCCUGCUCUUUUAGGAUCACUUGUAUCUGAAGCCCUCAAUUGAGUUCUGAGAAACUUCUGGGAGGAAGGACCGUCUUAAAGAGUUUUCAUUCCUUUUUUGUUUCUGCAGUUUUUUUUUUCCCACAGAAGGGCGUAUUCAGAUUCCUAAAGAAGGCUUUGAAAGGGAUCCAGAGAGGCAAUCACAUGCAUGUGCAGCUAUUUUUUUCAUCCGGCAAGAAUAUAUGGAAUGUGAAUGGAGUUUCAGCAUAGCUCUGUGAGUUUGUGAUGCCUCCAGAAAUGAAGACUCCUGAGGGAGAAUUUCACUGAGGAACAUCAUGGGAAUUAAAACUCUACAGAUGGGAGGUAUUACCUUAUUUUUUCUGAUCCUUCAGAAUCUCUAAAUUCAGUGGUUCACAGAAUCACAGAAUCACAAGGUUGGAAAGGAGAUCAUCUAGCCCAGGGUGAAACAAGUUUGAAAAUACCAUGAAGAUGUGGAGUUUUAACUGAACUGAAAGCCUGUAGUCCAGACUUGGCAGUGCUUGUCAAGAGUGACUGAAGAUGACUAGAGAAGGAGACCCAUUAGAUUGCAAGGAUUUUUAUUCCUGACCAAUCGUCUUUCAUGC